rnacentral:rRNA from 1 species
GACGAACCGUGCGAACGUUGUUCGGAAUCACUGGGCUUAAAGGGCGCGUAGGCGGCUUGCAAAGUCAGGGGUGAAAUCUUUCGGCUCAACCGGAAAAGUGCCUUUGAUACUGGCAGGCUCGAGGGAGGUAGGGGUAUGUGGAACUUCCGGUGGAGCGGUGAAAUGCGUUGAUAUCGGAAGGAACGCCGGUGGCGAAAGCGACGUACUGGACCUCUUCUGACGCUGAGGCGCGAAAGCUAGGGGAGCAAACGGG